UUCGCCCACCGUUUACAUCAUCACGUCACAACAUUGGGACAGCCCAUUAAUGUGUACCUGAAGCAAUCCUCCCCUUGCAUGCCCUCCUCGCAAUCCUCCCAACGUCCUCGCGCCACUGUCCUCUUCUCCUCGAUCUCCUCUACCAGGGCGCCCUCCUCGUGACCCAGGCGCUGGCCGACGUCGGCGACUCCGCUCUGCUCCUCCGCGGACUCACGCUCUGCCGCCGCCGAGGAGACGGCUUGAGGAAGAUCCCUUGGACCGAGUACCUGAUCUCGGAUCUGGUGCUCGUGGGGUGGCGGGAUUGAAAGUAUGGAUCUUGGGGACGGGCAGAUGACGUUCGUCGUGUUAGGAAGAUGAGUAUGUAACUCGUGGAGUCCGAGCUGUUGCGUGGCGACGCUCGAGUGCAGCGUUCAGAUGGAAGGGGCCGCGACCUUGAUGGGUUGGGGCUCGCCUCCCGCGCUCCUCUUCGUCAUGUACAACAACCAUGGCGGCCCUAUGUGUCGAACUGUCCCGACAACGACGCUGCAGCCUGCUGACUCUAUGUGUAGGACUGCCUGACUCAACCUCUAUCUCAAUGUUAACUCAAUGCCCAACAAUGUCGUCAAUUGUCAGCAAGCAGUUACUCCAAAUUCCAUUGCCCAAACGCCAUAUAUAUGUACCUUGAGUACAAGAGAUAAGAGACCAUGGAUGCAAAAGUCAUAAAAUUAGGAACCUGAAGGGAAAAUGGAAGGCACCUUUGAUCGACAUUCAGCCUAGAAAACAAAAACAAAACAGUGGAGCUGAAGCAGAUGGUUUGUUGAUUUAUGAUGGUGCAGAUCUUGGAAACAAUUCAACUGGGCACCACGGCGCUGAAUUGAAGUACAACUUCUUGCCGGAAAGUUCUUAUAUAUGAUCUCUAGAAUCUCGACAACAAAAAUGGACCAUCUUGCGUCUUACUCAAGUCAGUUACAACAAUCAGAAGUUGUGAUGGAUAUGAGUCUUGUUUACGCUUUAGAGUAAAUGCACGAAGAACUGAUGAAUGAGAAGAUAUUUUCAGAGAACCAUCGAUGCUACGUGCAAUGCUGGUUUGAUAAUUUUUCGCAUGUCUCGUGCAUGACAGCAGCGCAUUCAUUGGCCUCCACUUGUGCGCCAAUCUAUGAUGCCUGCGCCCGCGGUGUCAGGUCACGCUCUGCUGCAAUUGUGCAUGCCGCCUCUACGCGACCCCAUCAAGGAAUACAGCCCAACUGAGAUUUUUCAUAUCAUCUCUGCCAUGUCGUCAUCGUUGCAAGAGAUUCUGAAAACAAAAACAAAACAGUGGGGCUGAAACAUAUGGUUUUUUGAUUUAUGAUGGUGCAGAUCUUGGAAACAAUUCAACUGGGCACCAUGGCGCUGAAUUCAAGUACAACUUCUUGCCGGAAAGCUCUUAUAUAUGAUCUCUUGAAUCUCGACAACAAAAAUGGACCAUCUUGCGUCUUACUCCAGUCAGUUACAACCUAACAAUCAGAAAUUGUGAUGGAUAUGAGUCUUGUUUACGCAUUAGAGUAAAUGCACGAAGAACUGAUGAAUGAGAAGAUAUUUUCAGAGAACCAUCGAUGCUACGUGCAAUGCUGGUUUGAUAAUUUUUCGCAUGUCUCGUGCAUGACACCAGGGCAUUCAUCGGCCUCCACUUGUGCGCCAAUCUAUGAUGCCUGCGCUCGCGGUGUCAGGUCACGCUCUGCUGCAAUUGUGCAUGCUGCCUCUACGCGGCCCCAUCAAGGAAUACAGCCCAGCUGAGAUUUUUCAUAUCAUCUCUACCAUGGCGGCAUCGUUGCAAGAGAUUCAGGUAGUGGUGCAUCCGGACGUUGUCAAAAUCUCUCCCAAACCUGUAAUGAAGUGCUCGACAAAGGAUGCUAGCGCUAUAUUGCCUGCUGAAUUUUUCUGAUACCAAAAGGACCAGAGCCAACCAAAGUCAUCAACAUAUAUACACCCAAACCUGCACCUUAUGGACAUGGGGAUUGUCAAACUCGGUGUCACGAAUGUUGAAGGUUGUACAAUGGCAACGGAUAAGCUGAAGGAGCUUAGAGAAGACCUUGGAACAUAUAUAUGCUACAGUAUAACUGAUGGGGUGGGUUAUGGAAUAUAGAUUAAAGGGUGUCGAUUUUAUGAUUGUACCGACUGAAGUUUUUUCAGGUGGUGUGAUACGUCUUCAACAUAUCUAUAAUUUUUUAUUGCUUCAUGCUACAUUAUCUACUGUUUUAGACAUUAUUGGGUUUUAUUAUCCACUUUUAUAUUAUUUUUGGGACUAACCUAUUAACCGGAGGCCCAGCCCACAAUUGCUGUUUUUUUUGUUUAUUUUAGGGUUUCGAAGAAAAGGAAUAUCAAUCAGAGUUCAAAUGAAAUGAAACCUUCGGAAACGAGAUUUUCUCACCGAACAUGAUCUAGGAGACUUACGCCAAGAAACAAAGGAAGUGGGGCGUAGGCGCGCCCACCACCCUCGUGGGCCCCUUGUUGCUCCAUCGACGUACUCCUUCCUCCUAUACGCCCUCGAUGCGGCUAUAUCUUCUACGUGUCGAAGCAUGACUUAGAGGCAUAACCGCAUUGAAAGCAAUGUUGCAAGUAAGGUAAUCUUCACAACAACACAUGUAAAUAGAUAAUAAGGGGAAACAUACAUAAUUGACUUA